rnacentral:rRNA from 1 species
UGGGGAAUAUUGCACAAUGGGGGAAACCCUGAUGCAGCGACGCCGCGUGAGUGAAGAAGUAUUUCGGUAUGUAAAGCUCUAUCAGCAGGGAAGAAAAUGACGGUACCUGACUAAGAAGCCCCGGCUAACUACGUGCCAGCAGCCGCGGUAAUACGUAGGGGGCAAGCGUUAUCCGGAUUUACUGGGUGUAAAGGGAGCGUAGACGGCGCGGCAAGUCUGAAGUGAAAGGCAGGGGCUUAACCCUUGAACUGCUUUGGAAACUGCCAUGCUAGAGUGCUGGAGAGGUAAGUGGAAUUCCUAGUG